rnacentral:rRNA from 1 species
AUACGGAGGAUCCGAGCGUUAUCCGGAUUUAUUGGGUUUAAAGGGUGCGCAGGCGGCCAUUUAAGUCAGCGGUUAAAUCGUGGGGCUCAACCCCAUUCUGCCGUUGAUACUGGGUGGCUUGAUUGCGGUCGAGGUUGGCGGAAUUCGUUGUGUAGCGGUGAAAUGCAUAGAUAUGACGAAGAACACCGAUUGCGUAGGCAGCUGACCAGAUCGCAAAUGACGCACAUUCACGAAAGUGCGGGGAUCGAACAGGAUUAGAUACCCUGGUAGUCCGCACAGUAAACGAUGAAUACUUGUUUUCGGCGAUAUAAUGUCGGAGGCAAAGCGAAAGCGAUAAGUAUUCCACCUGGGGAGUACGCCGGCAACGGGGAAACUCAAAUGAAUUGACGGGG